GUACGAUAUCUAAUCUCCUACUCCGACAUCAGCGGGGAUUCAGACGCAGGCUGUUGUUCCGCGUGAACCAUUUCAGCCAUGGAAAAGAUACUCGUAUUUUGCCUGCUUGUCGGCGCAGUCGCCUUUGUUAUAGGACAAGGCGGCGGUUAUUUUGGUGGCGGUAAUAAUUACUAUUACCCGACCGGGCAAUACGGUAAUGUAGCAGGGUAUCCACUAGGAGAGUAUCUAAGAGCAAAGAAUGUGUACCUAAGAGCAAGGCUUUCGAGCAGGAAAGAAGACGGCUUCUUGGGCGAUAUCAUAGGACUGGGUGCACUUUUCCUUUUAUACGCGUUCUACAAGAACUUGACAAAACAGUACAUUGGUUGAUAACACGACUUGUGUCAGUAAGAAUACACUGGACAUCAUUAGUUAUACGAGGGGCAGAAUGGCGGUUUGGUACGACUUGUGUAAUGAGGCUAAAUAUUAAAUGUUAAUUGUAUGUAUCUUAAUCUUUGUCCUUUGUUUUCUAUUUCGUUUUUAUUGUUCAAGAUGUUCUAAGUUGAAAAUAAAACUGAAUAAAUAUUUCUG